GGAGCGGGGCCCGGCUCGUUGCGAGCCCCGUGCGGAGCUCGGAGCAGGAGCGCGGUGUGGGCUCGGUAGCUGGCAGCAGUGUGCGUUUGGAAGAACAGAACUGCAGGGUAGUUCGGGUUGGGAAGGGCCUCUGAGAUCACCCGCUCCAAACCCCCUGCCAGGGAAGGGUCACCUGGAGCGGACACAGGAAUGUGUCCAGCUGAAAUAAGACGUUCAAAUGUUUCAUCCUUGAGAUUACCACCUCAAACCUCAACAUUGAAGACAUCUAAAACCAGCAGAUUAAUUCCUUACUGUACCAGCUGAAGCAGAAUGAGUUAAGUGUGGUGCCAAGCUGUGGGUGAUAGCAUCUGCAUUCAGAAAGCACCGACUCUGCCUUUGCACGUGAAGAGUGGUCUCAGGAACAUGUUCCAGCACUGCAGCCUCUCUGCCCUGCCACGUGCUGUCCCCACAGCUGCCUCAGGCUGCCCAUGUGGAGCCUGGCCACUUGGAUCUAUGAGAAUGGAGCUGCUCAGCUGUUUGAAGUCAUGGGUGCGUAUUCAUCCAUAUACAGAAUUCAGAUAUGCAAAACAUCACAGUUUUGGAUCUACCCAAAACUGCACUUCAGGGGAGUCACCAAGAGACUUCGAGAUGCACUGACUGAUUUUGACAAUUCUCUAGGUGGGCACUCACCUCCUGCAUCUUUGUGAUGAGAAUUAUGCAAUUUGAUGUCCUUUUGCACUGCACUGCUCCAUCUCCUUAGUUUUUAUUAAACUUCUAUUCAAACAGGAUGCUUUAAGUAUCUGGAUCUUGAAAUUCAUUGUCUAAUUCUUUAGUAGUCAUCAUUCUCACCCGAUAAAAUUGCUCAGCUCCUUCACAGCAAUUGAGACAAAUAAAACUUAGUUGACUCUGAAACUUUGGUGGGUGCAGAAGUCAGAAGGAUACUGUCUCUUCUGAUUGUAAUGGCUGUGUUGUUCCUUUUGCUGUCAGCAGUGUUUAUUUUUAUUAAUAGAUACUACUUUGUUUUGUUCUCAUUUAGCCUGGUAGACUAAUGUUUAAAGUAGCCGAGAAUCAGAUUUUACCUCAAG